ACACUCCUGCGGGAGGCAGCAGUGGGGAAUUUUGGACAAUGGGCGAAAGCCUGAUCCAGCCAUGCCGCGUGCAGGAUGAAGGCCUUCGGGUUGUAAACUGCUUUUGUACGGAACGAAACGGCCUUUUCUAAUAAAGAGGGCUAAUGACGGUACCGUAAGAAUAAGCACCGGCUAACUACGUGCCAGCAGCCGCGGUAAUACGUAGGGUGCAAGCGUUAAUCGGAAUUACUGGGCGUAAAGCGUGCGCAGGCGGUUAUGUAAGACAGUUGUGAAAUCCCCGGGCUCAACCUGGGAACUGCAUCUGUGACUGCAUAGCUAGAGUACGGUAGAGGGGGAUGGAAUUCCGCGUGUAGCAGUGAAAUGCGUAGAUAUGCGGAGGAACACCGAUGGCGAAGGCAAUCCCCUGGACCUGUACUGACGCUCAUGCACGAAAGCGUGGGGAGCAAACAGGAUUAGAUACCCGAGUAGUCCCAUGAU
rnacentral:rRNA from 1 species